rnacentral:rRNA from 1 species
UACGUAGGGCGCAAGCGUUUAUCCGGAAUUAUUGGGCGUAAAGAGCUCGUAGGCGGUUUGUCGCGUCUGCCGUGAAAGUCCGGGGCUCAACUCCGAUCUGCGGUGGGUACGGGCAGACUAGAGUGAUGUAGGGGAGACUGGAAUUCCUGGUGUAGCGGUGAAAUGCGCAGAUAUCAGGAGGAACACCGAUGGCGAAGGCAGGUCUCUGGGCAUUAACUGACGCUGAGGAGCGAAAGCAUGGGGAGCGAACAGG